AAAGUCGUAACAAGGUUUCCGUAGGUGAACCUGCGGAAGGAUCAUUAUCGAUUCUAACUGGAUGUGCUGGCAAAGAUUGACCAAGUUGGUCUUUGCAAUGUGCACUCCAAAUUACUAUUCUCACCUGUGCACCUUUAUGUAGAAUGUGGCGGAGGUAAUCUGCAGCAUUCUAUGUUUUUUAUAAACCUUUUAAAAUGAAAAGAUAACUUGUAUAAGGGUUGGUUUAAAAGCCAACCCUUUAACUUAAUACAACUUUCAACAACGGAUCUCUUGGUUCUC
rnacentral:misc_RNA from 1 species